AGUGAACGCUGGCGGUAGGCCUAACACAUGCAAGUCGAACGGCAGCACAGUAAGAGCUUGCUCUUACGGGUGGCGAGUGGCGGACGGGUGAGGAAUACAUCGGAAUCUACUUUUUCGUGGGGGCUAACGUAGGGAAACUUACGCUAAUACCGCAUACGACCUACGGGUGAAAGCAGGGGAUCUUCGGACCUUGCGCGACUGAAUGAGCCGAUGUCGGAUUAGCUAGUUGGCGGGGUAAAGGCCCACCAAGGCGACGAUCCGUAGCUGGUCUGAGAGGAUGAUCAGCCACACUGGAACUGAGACACGGUCCAGACUCCUACGGGAGGCAGCAGUGGGGAAUAUUGGACAAUGGGCGCAAGCCUGAUCCAGCCAUACCGCGUGGGUGAAGAAGGCCUUCGGGUUGUAAAGCCCUUUUGUUGGGAAAGAAAAGCAGCAGGUUAAUACCCCGCUGUUCUGACGGUACCCAAAGAAUAAGCACCGGCUAACUUCGUG
rnacentral:rRNA from 1 species